rnacentral:lncRNA from 1 species
AUGUGAAGGCAAAGACCGCAGGACUGGAAUUCUUGAAGAAAGUCAGCCUCCUCAUGGUAUGCUCCCAUGACAUCUAUAUCUGCUUCCCAAGCCUUAGGGAGGAAGUCCUUCCACAGCCAGAAAGGGGACAACAGUUAUGAUGGAAUGGCAUGGCUGCAGUAAUAGACUAAGAGAAGCAGAACCACACAAAUAUAGACCUUGAUUUAGGACAGUUAUGCUGCUGUCUUGCAGUGAGAAAGCAUUUAUUAAAUGCAUGGAAAGCAAA